UGAGGAACAUGACUUUCGGCGGGGGAUAGCCGGCCCAACGGCCGGGUAAUACCGCGUACGACCUUUCGGGGACAUCCCCGGAUGGUGAAAGCAGCAAUGCGCCGAUGGAGUGCCUCGCGGCCUAUCAGCUAGUUGGUGAGGUAACGGCUCACCAAGGCAACGACGGGUAGCUGGUCUGAGAGGAUGGCCAGCCGCAUUGGGACUGGGACACGGCCCAGACUCCGUACGGGAGCAGCAGG
rnacentral:rRNA from 1 species